CUCAGUGGCAGCCGCAGGCCUUGACCACCAUGUUGCGGUGCUUGCGCAGGAUGACGUUGUUGCUGCUGUCAUAGUAGAGCACAGAGGUGGCGCUCAGCUUGACUUGCGGAUCCUGCUCCCCUUCCCACUUCUGCACUUGGGGGUCUAAUGAGGCCUCAGUGGAACAUAGAAUUCCUCCCGCCCUGACAUCAUAGCUCCCGCCUGGGAGGCCUCCUGGAUGACUCCUUUCGCCUCCUCCCUUCCCUGAGAGCAGCCCCUGGCUCAACCUCCACCUCCGUGCUGCCUCGGACCACCUGCCCAGUCGAGCUGCCAUCACCUGCCAGGUGACCACAGCAGCCCUCACUCAUCCCCUGCUCCUCUGCCUUCCACUCCCGCGACCAUCAGCCUCCCCAAGCCAGAAAGGUCCUUCUGGAGGGUGACGCAGACCAGGACACUGCUUUGCUGAAGACCUCUGACAGCCUCUGGGGUUGCUUGGAAUAAAAUCCACCCUCCUUCCCAGGGAACCCCAGGCCCUACGGGAGCUGGCCUGGCUCACCCCGGCAUCACCUCCCUCCACUCUCCUCCCC
rnacentral:lncRNA from 1 species